AUGAUAGCAAUGGUGGUCCCAAUGUUAAAAUCUUGGUGGACUUGCUCACAGGAGGAGAUUGUAGUUUACCUAUUCCAGUGAAGGGCAAGAUAGAGACUUUAAAUCAAGCAUUAGAGGAUUAAAAACAUGGCAAGCUAAGCAUGAUUUACAACAUUAUCGGUCAAAUCCGAAAUGGAAACCUAUAAAGUUUAAUACAAAAAAGUGCAUAUACGCAAGAGGAGAUUGACGAGAUUUGAACAAAAUAUGCAAGCUUUGUUAGCCGAUUUGUGUAAGCUUUUACACUUUUUUUUGUAGUUUAUAAGUUACUAGUACUAAUACUAAUUGUUUUAAUAUAUAAGCUACGAGAUUCUAGUACUACUUGUUGUACAUACUUUAAUUUUCAGGUUUUCUGCUUGUAGUAGUUUAUGAAUAGGUGUUGUAUUGUAGUGUUUUAGGUGUUGACUUUAGAGUGUAUUUGUUGUAGUACUAUGUGGAAAGUGUGUAUUAGUGGAGGAAUUUGUUGUACACAUACUUUAAUACUUUACAUAUUAUUUACUUGAUUGAUAUGUGUA